rnacentral:misc_RNA from 1 species
GCCAAAGAAUUAGAGCAAGCCGGCCAUAAAAAUAAAUAUACCAUUGGAGGGAUACGGAAAGACCCGAUGCUAGUCCAGAAAUUUACUUGAAGCACUCUCGAGGAAGAAGGAGAGGUUGCCAUAGAUGUAGACUUUUGGAGACUUUUAAGUCUAAAAUAAACAGACUUGAUAAAUGAAAUACUAAUACAGGUGAAGUGCCAAAUCAACAGCGGCUCUCUGUGGCUAUCUUCCA